rnacentral:lncRNA from 1 species
CCGUGUGUCACUGCGUGUCACCCGGACUGUCACCGCGUGUCACCGUGUGUCACCCCGAGCGUCACUGUGUGUCUCUAUGUGUCACCGUGUCACCGCGAGUGUCACUGUGUGUGUGUCACUGUCACUGUGUGUCACCGCGUGUCACCGUGUGUCACCCCGAGCGUCACCGUGUGUCUCUAUGUGUCACCAUGUCACCCCGAGUGUCACUGUGUGUCACUGCGUGUGUCACCGUGUGUCAUUGUAACUGUCACCAUGUGUCACUGUGUGUCACCCCGAGUGUCACCGUGUGUGUCACUGUCACCGUGUGUCACCGUGUGUCACCGCGUGUGUCACCCCAAGUGUCACCGUGUGUCACCCCGAGUGUCACCGUGUGUCACUGUGUGUCACUGUGUGUCACUGUGUGUCAUUGUAACUGUCACUGUGUGUCACCGUGUCACUGUGACUGUCACCGUGUGUCUCUGUGUCACCGUGUGUCACCCCGAGCGUCACUGUGUCUCUAUGUGUCACCGCGAGUGUCACCGUCUGUGUCACUGUGUGUCACUGUGUCGCUGUGUGUCACCGUGUGUCACUGUAACUGUCACCGUGUGUGUCUAUGUGUCACCGUGUGUCACCAUGUGUCACCGCGAGUGUCACCGUGUGUGUCGCUGUGUGUCACUGUGUGUCACCGUGUGUCAUUGUAACUGUCACCGUGUGUCACUGUGUGUCACCCCGAGUGUCCCCGAGUGUCACCUGUCUGUCCCCGCCCACCUUGACCUGCUCCUCCUUGUGCUCCCACCCAUUGUCCCCAUGUGUCCCCAUUGUCCCCAUUGUCCCCAGGUGUCCCCAGGUGUCCCCAGGUGUCCCCAGGUGUCCCCAAGUGCCACCCACCUUGACCUGCUCCUCCUUGCGCUCCCACCCAUUGUCCCCGAGUGUCCCCAGGUGUCCCCAAGUGUCCCCGACUGUCACUGUGACUGUCACACCAGGUGUCCCCAUUGUUCCCAAGUGUCCCCAUUGUCCCCGAGUGUCCCCAGGUGUCCCCAGGUGUCCCCAUUGUCCCCAAGUGUCCCCAGGUGUCCCCAGGUGUUCCCAGGUGUCCCCAGGUGUCCCCACCCACCUUGACCUGCUCCUCCUUGCGCUCCCACCAGGCGUCGAAGGCCCUGAAGGCCACGUUCUCCACCAUCUUCCUGUUGAGGUCCCUCU